rnacentral:rRNA from 1 species
UUAAGCGACUAAGCGUACACGGUGGAUGCCCUGGCAGUCAGAGGCGAUGAAGGACGUGCUAAUCUGCGAUAAGCGUCGGUAAGGUGAUAUGAACCGUUAUAACCGGCGAUUUCCGAAUGGGGAAACCCAGUGUGUUUCGACACACUAUCAUUAACUGAAUCCAUAGGUUAAUGAGGCGAACCGGGGGAACUGAAACAUCUAAGUACCCCGAGGAAAAGAAAUCAACCGAGAUUCCCCCAGUAGCGGCGAGCGAACGGGGAGCAGCCCAGAGCCUGAAUCAGUGUGUGUGUUAGUGGAAGCGUCUGGAAAGGCGCGCGAUACAGGGUGACAGCCCCGUACACAAAAAUGCACAUAUUGUGAGCUCGAUGAGUAGGGCGGGACACGUGGUAUCCUGUCUGAAUAUGGGGGGACCAUCCUCCAAGGCUAAAUACUCCUGACUGACCGAUAGUGAACCAGUACCGUGAGGGAAAGGCGAAAAGAACCCCGGCGAGGGGAGUGAAAAAGAACCUGAAACCGUGUACGUACAAGCAGUGGGAGCCUCUUUUAUGGGGUGACUGCGUACCUUUUGUAUAAUGGGUCAGCGACUUAUAUUCUGUAGCAAGGUUAACCGAAUAGGGGAGCCGAAGGGAAACCGAGUCUUAACUGGGCGUUAAGUUGCAGGGUAUAGACCCGAAACCCGGUGAUCUAGCCAUGGGCAGGUUGAAGGUUGGGUAACACUAACUGGAGGACCGAACCGACUAAUGUUGAAAAAUUAGCGGAUGACUUGUGGCUGGGGGUGAAAGGCCAAUCAAACCGGGAGAUAGCUGGUUCUCCCCGAAAGCUAUUUAGGUAGCGCCUCGUGAAUUCAUCUCCGGGGGUAGAGCACUGUUUCGGCAAGGGGGUCAUCCCGACUUACCAACCCGAUGCAAACUGCGAAUACCGGAGAAUGUUAUCACGGGAGACACACGGCGGGUGCUAACGUCCGUCGUGAAGAGGGAAACAACCCAGACCGCCAGCUAAGGUCCCAAAGUCAUGGUUAAGUGGGAAACGAUGUGGGAAGGCCCAGACAGCCAGGAUGUUGGCUUAGAAGCAGCCAUCAUUUAAAGAAAGCGUAAUAGCUCACUGGUCGAGUCGGCCUGCGCGGAAGAUGUAACGGGGCUAAACCAUGCACCGAAGCUGCGGCAGCGACGCUUAUGCGUUGUUGGGUAGGGGAGCGUUCUGUAAGCCUGUGAAGGUGUGCUGUGAGGCAUGCUGGAGGUAUCAGAAGUGCGAAUGCUGACAUAAGUAACGAUAAAGCGGGUGAAAAGCCCGCUCGCCGGAAGACCAAGGGUUCCUGUCCAACGUUAAUCGGGGCAGGGUGAGUCGACCCCUAAGGCGAGGCCGAAAGGCGUAGUCGAUGGGAAACAGGUUAAUAUUCCUGUACUUGGUGUUACUGCGAAGGGGGGACGGAGAAGGCUAUGUUGGCCGGGCGACGGUUGUCCCGGUUUAAGCGUGUAGGCUGGUUUUCCAGGCAAAUCCGGAAAAUCAAGGCUGAGGCGUGAUGACGAGGCACUACGGUGCUGAAGCAACAAAUGCCCUGCUUCCAGGAAAAGCCUCUAAGCAUCAGGUAACAUCAAAUCGUACCCCAAACCGACACAGGUGGUCAGGUAGAGAAUACCAAGGCGCUUGAGAGAACUCGGGUGAAGGAACUAGGCAAAAUGGUGCCGUAACUUCGGGAGAAGGCACGCUGAUAUGUAGGUGAAGUCCCUUGCGGAUGGAGCUGAAAUCAGUCGAAGAUACCAGCUGGCUGCAACUGUUUAUUAAAAACACAGCACUGUGCAAACACGAAAGUGGACGUAUACGGUGUGACGCCUGCCCGGUGCCGGAAGGUUAAUUGAUGGGGUCAGCGCAAGCGAAGCUCUUGAUCGAAGCCCCGGUAAACGGCGGCCGUAACUAUAACGGUCCUAAGGUAGCGAAAUUCCUUGUCGGGUAAGUUCCGACCUGCACGAAUGGCGUAAUGAUGGCCAGGCUGUCUCCACCCGAGACUCAGUGAAAUUGAACUCGCUGUGAAGAUGCAGUGUACCCGCGGCAAGACGGAAAGACCCCGUGAACCUUUACUAUAGCUUGACACUGAACAUUGAGCCUUGAUGUGUAGGAUAGGUGGGAGGCUUUGAAGUGUGGACGCCAGUCUGCAUGGAGCCGACCUUGAAAUACCACCCUUUAAUGUUUGAUGUUCUAACGUGGACCCGUGAUCCGGGUUGCGGACAGUGUCUGGUGGGUAGUUUGACUGGGGCGGUCUCCUCCUAAAGAGUAACGGAGGAGCACGAAGGUUGGCUAAUCCUGGUCGGACAUCAGGAGGUUAGUGCAAUGGCAUAAGCCAGCUUGACUGCGAGCGUGACGGCGCGAGCAGGUGCGAAAGCAGGUCAUAGUGAUCCGGUGGUUCUGAAUGGAAGGGCCAUCGCUCAACGGAUAAAAGGUACUCCGGGGAUAACAGGCUGAUACCGCCCAAGAGUUCAUAUCGACGGCGGUGUUUGGCACCUCGAUGUCGGCUCAUCACAUCCUGGGGCUGAAGUAGGUCCCAAGGGUAUGGCUGUUCGCCAUUUAAAGUGGUACGCGAGCUGGGUUUAGAACGUCGUGAGACAGUUCGGUCCCUAUCUGCCGUGGGCGCUGGAGAACUGAGGGGGGCUGCUCCUAGUACGAGAGGACCGGAGUGGACGCAUCACUGGUGUUCGGGUUGUCAUGCCAAUGGCACUGCCCGGUAGCUAAAUGCGGAAGAGAUAAGUGCUGAAAGCAUCUAAGCACGAAACUUGCCCCGAGAUGAGUUCUCCCUGACCCUUUAAGGGUCCUGAAGGAACGUUGAAGACGACGACGUUGAUAGGCCGGGUGUGUAAGCGCAGCGAUGCGUUGAGCUAACCGGUACUAAUGAACCGUGAGGCUUAACCUU